CCUACGGGAGGCAGCAGUGAGGAAUAUUGGUCAAUGGGCGCUAGCCUGAACCAGCCAAGUCGCGUGAAGGAUGACUGCCCUAUGGGUUGUAAACUUCUUUUAUAUGGGAAUAAAGUGCAGUAUGUAUACUGCUUUGCAUGUACCUUAUGAAUAAGGAUCGGCUAACUCCGUGCCAGCAGCCGCGGUAAUACGGAGGAUCCGAGCGUUAUCCGGAUUUAUUGGGUUUAAAGGGAGCGUAGGCGGGUGGUUAAGUCAGUUGUGAAAGUUUGCGGCUCAACCGUAAAAUUGCAGGUGAUACUGGCAGCCUUGAGUACAGUAGAGGUAGGCGGAAUUCGUGGUGUAGCGGUGAAAUGCUUAGAUAUCACGAAGAACUCCGAUUGCGAAGGCAGCCUGCUGGACUGUAACUGACGCUGAUGCUCGAAAGUGUGGGUAUCAAACAGGAUUAGAUACCCCAGUAGUC
rnacentral:rRNA from 1 species